rnacentral:rRNA from 1 species
UACGUAGGUGGCAAGCGUUGUCCGGAAUUACUGGGUGUAAAGGGCGUGUAGGCGGGACUGCAAGUCAGAUGUGAAAUUCCCAGGCUCAACCUGGGGGCUGCAUCUGAAACUGUGGUUCUUGAGUGCUGGAGAGGAAAGCGGAAUUCCUAGUGUAGCGGUGAAAUGCGUAGAUAUUAGGAGGAACACCAGUGGCGAAGGCGGCUUUCUGGACAGUAACUGACGCUGAGGCGCGAAAGCGUGGGGAGCAAACAGG